UACAGAGGGGGCAAGCGUUGUUCGGAAUUACUGGGCGUAAAGGGCGCGUAGGCGGCCGCCUAAGUCAGACGUGAAAUCCCUGGGCUCAACCCAGGAACUGCGUCCGAUACUGGUUGGCUUGAAUCCGGGAGAGGGAUGCGGAAUUCCAGGUGUAGCGGUGAAAUGCGUAGAUAUCUGGAGGAACACCGGUGGCGAAGGCGGCAUCCUGGACCGGCAUUGACGCUGAGGAGCGAAAGCCAGGGGAGCAAACGGG
rnacentral:rRNA from 1 species